GAGGCGGUGCAGCUACCGCGCCGUGUUGUCCUCUGUCUGCACCGCCGCUGACGGAAAGCUAGGCCCUUCUGGAGACCCGCUUUCCCAAGGGCGCGGCCUCCUGGGCCGGGAUGCACGAGGAAAAAUAAUCCCCUGCCUUUCUUCGGUAGCUGUUUUCCAGUCCACAGCACCACUGCUGAACCGAGCGUUACUGAGUAGCGUUCUUUGCCUUCACCCCUCCCUUCCUCUACCACUUGUCCACUCUCGAGGUUUAACUAAGAAGUCAUACUUUACUAGACAACCCAAUCUCAGAAGUCGUCAUUUCCCCCUUAGCUACUUGAAUAGUACCUGGCACCUCUUGCUUCCUCCAUUAACUACUCCCUCGGGCAGCGACGUCCCUCCUUUCCCUCUUCUCUCCCGAUUAGAGCCACUACGGGCCGUGCCUUCCUCUUCCACGGGAGCUCUAUCUUGGUACACCCAGAACCACCUCCCUCCCUAACCCGCUGCCACACUCGUGGGGGUCUCUACCUGUCUCCUCUUGAUCCAGGUAAGUUAUGUGGACCUGAAUAAUAGAGUACAGAAAAGUCACUCUUAUGCACUCACUAUGAAAAUGACUGAACAACUUUCUGGAGCCGUGUUGACAUAAUAGGAUACUCACUCGGGUUACACCUUAUACAAGGGUUAUACCCCUUGAUAAAACCACUGCUCUGUCCUUGACUAGGGACCCAUAUAUGCCACCCGUAUGCCACAAUCUAACACCCCCACUACCCAAGGCUGCAGUCAGCCCUGUUAGGAGCUGUGACCCAUUCUGUCCCUUGGACUAGGAGCCAUCUGCUUUUCCUCCCCACUGGAUCUGAAGUUUUUUUGUCUUACUCAUAUAUGCUAAGUUUAAGUUUUCUGUGUGAGGGUCUAAUUGGUUGAAGGAAAAAGGAUUUGGUCCUAGUUUCCCCUUAUGAGCCAGCUGUCUUUGACCAGAUUAAGACAUCACCAAAGGAUUUUAAGUGGGUAAUAUAAGAAGUGUAUUUUUCUAAAUGCUUCCUCUGCCUGCAGUAUGAAUAGAUAGGAGAGAUGCCAGAAUGGGUGAGACCAGAUAAGAGACCCACUGCAGGGCCACAAGAGAGAUACUUGAACUAGAAUGUGUGGAAACAAAGCAAAGAGGAUAAAUUCAUAGGAGGCAAAACAGAAACUGGUGACAGAUUAGAUUGGGGUUAGGGAGAAGGCAUCAAUUAU
rnacentral:lncRNA from 1 species